UGGCUCAGACGGUAAAGCAUCUGCCUAUAAUGCAGGAGACCCAGGUUCGAUCCCUGG
rnacentral:tRNA from 1 species